rnacentral:lncRNA from 1 species
AUGGCCCUUCCAAAGAUAUCAUAUCUUAAUCCCUAGAACCUGUAAAAUGCUGCCUUCUUUGGGAAAAGGGUCUUCGCAGAUGUGAUUAAGACUAUUUUGAUGGGGGGGGGGGCGGUUAGCCUGGAUUAUCCAGGUCCCUAAAUGCAAUCAUGUGUAUCUUUACAAGAGGGAGGCAGAAGAAUGAACAAACUGAGAAAGCAGUCUGAAGAUGGAACAGAGAGACAUUUGUAGAUGUUGACCUUGGAGAUUGCAGUCAUGUCCCUCCCUGCAAGGCGAGGGAUGCCUGCAGUUAUCGGAAGCUGGAAGAGGUAAGGAGUGGGCUUUUCCCUAGAGUCUCCAGACUGAGUGCAGCCCUUGAUUUCAGCCCAGGGAAACUGAUCUGGGGCAUCUGGCUUCCAGAACUGUUAAGAGAAUAAAUUUCUGUUGAUGAAGUCACCCGGUUACAGUAGUUAACACAGCAGCCCUAGGAAACUAAUACAUCAUUGUUUAUUUGCUUGCUUUCUCCCUUCUGCAGUUUUCCAGGUUUGAUUUGGGGACUGGGAGACAGCAGCCUAAACUUGAUCAUCCUUUUGGCAAUUACAGGAUGCUGGAAUCGCUCCUUGAGAAGGCUGGACUUUUACAAAGGCUCUGUCAUCCAUGGAUGUCUGCCCAGAUACUUCUUACAGGAUGCUGCUCUUACAAGCAUAAGUGGAUGUCUUUCGCUAUACACACCUCAGGACAUGAAUGGAUCGAUGGACAGAGUUAAAGACAAUGAGCAAACUGGCCAAUCCAUAUCUGAAUGUCAAACUAUCGACGCCAGAGAAAAAUUCAUGGUAGGACAGGUUAAAAAGAAAAAAAAAAACACUGAAAGAAGAAGCAGGUGUCAGACAUCCCUUUUCCCACCCCUGUUUAUGAAAUUAGGAGCUUCAUCAGGAGGAGAAAAGAGAAAUUAAGCCUAAGAAAAUGGGAAGGAGCAGAGGUUUUACACGAUUCAUGAGGUAGUCAUUUUUUCAAAUAGUGGGUUGGAAUCCUGAAAUAUUAUGUGUGGACCUGGAAGAAAAUGGACUUGAGACUUGCCUGGAUAUCUGUUUACCAUGGUUGAGUGGCCUUGCUACAAUGCUUGGUCCUUGAGGUAUAAGUGGAAUACUAGGCAG